UGGGGAAUAUUGGUCAAUGGGCGCAAGCCUGAACCAGCCACGCCGCGUGAGUGAUGAAGGCCUUCGGGUUGUAAAGCUCUGUGGGGAGGGAAGAAAACGGCCGGUAAGAAACGACCGGUCCUUGACGGUACCUCCUUAGCAAGCACCGGCUAACUCUGUGCCAGCAGCCGCGGUAAUACAGAGGGUGCGAACGUUGCUCGGAAUUACUGGGCGUAAAGCGCGUGUAGGCGGACUCGCAAGUCAGAUGUGAAAUCCCCGGGCUCAACUCGGGAACUGCAUCUGAAACUGCGAGCCUUGAGUACCGGAGAGGGUGGCGGAAUUCCUGGUGUAGAGGUGAAAUUCGUAGAUAUCAGGAGGAACACCGGUGGCGAAGGCGGCCACCUGGACGGUAACUGACGCUGAGACGCGAAAGCGUGGGGAGCAAACAGGAUUAGAUACCCUGGUAGUCCACGCCGUAAACGAGUGGGU
rnacentral:rRNA from 1 species